CCACUGAGGGGUGUGAGCAGAAAGUAAGAGAUGAGGAGGCUAUUUAAGGGCAGCUGGGGGACUAAGUAUUCAUACUGUUGACACAACACUGCUGUUCCUUCUGAAGGCACCAUGAAGCUCAGCAUCACCAUCGCCCUCUGUGCUCUACUUUACUUCGCUGGUCCUGCUUUCGCCGUAUUACCACUGAACCCGGGAUCACCGGGACCAGUGGCGGCAGCGGAGUCAUGGCUGCCGGGAAGAGAAGUCAACAUGUCCACUAAUUUUGAUUUUUUUGGGCUGAAGUACAAAGCUGCACCGCUCACUGCAGUCUACAGUCGGUCAGGAAGACUCCAGAGUCAGUUUGACACAAUAAAGAAUUUCAACAUCA